GCGUAUCUCAGUGGUAGAGCACAUGCUUAGCAAGUGUGAGGGUGUUUAGUAUAUGUGAAGUCCUGGGUUCAAUUCCCAGCAGAA
rnacentral:tRNA from 1 species